rnacentral:piRNA from 1 species
UGAGAUUAUGUGGUUCUCGGAUGAAUAGC